GAUUCUUCGGAUGAAGUCCUUAGUGACUGAGUGGCGGACGGGUGAGUAACGCGUGGGUAACCUGCCUCAUACAGGGGGAUAACAGUUAGAAAUGGCUACUAAUACCGCAUAAGCGCACGGUACUGCAUGGUACAGUGUGAAAAACUCCGGUGGUAUGAGAUGGACCCGCGUUGGAUUAGCUAGUUGGCAGGGUAACGGCCUACCAAGGCGACGAUCCAUAGCCGGCCUGAGAGGGUGGACGGCCACAUUGGGACUGAGACACGGCCCAGACUCCUACGGGAGGCAGCAGUGGGGAAUAUUGCACAAUGGGGGAAACCCUGAUGCAGCGACGCCGCGUGAGCGAAGAAGUAUUUCGGUAUGUAAAGCUCUAUCAGCAGGGAAGAAAAUGACGGUACCUGACUAAGAAGCCCCGGCUAACUACGUGCCAGCAGCCGCGGUAAUACGUAGGGGGCAAGCGUUAUCCGGAUUUACUGGGUGUAAAGGGAGCGUAGACGGAAUGGCAAGUCUGAUGUGAAAGGCCGGGGCUCAACCCCGGGACUGCAUUGGAAACUGCCAAUCUAGAGUACCGGAGGGGUAAGUGGAAUUCCUAGUGUAGCGGUGAAAUGCGUAGAUA
rnacentral:rRNA from 1 species